rnacentral:misc_RNA from 1 species
CACCAACCUGGACCCUUUCAGGCAAUGGAGGAGUGCUUCCUUCCUCCUCUGCCGCUGCUAACCCUUUAUUACCACUUCCUCCACCACUCUCAUGCUCAUCCAUCUUCUCCACUUCCCCUUUUCCCUUUUUACCUUCUUUCAUUUCUUUUGACAACUUUAUCUCCAAAACAACAUGGCACACAACAACAACACCCACAGGCGCAUUUUAGCAGCUCCAGACCAUAAUCCUAAAACUUCCAUUUCCAUGGAUCCCACUCUCAAAAAGCAACCAAAACCCACCCCCUUUACCUCCAAGAGUACUAUACACAACAUCUCCAAUCAAUUUUCCCAUCUCAAUGCAAAUCACAAAAUCCUUAAAUCUGGGCAUACAUCAUAUUCACUUGACACACACUUAAACCCCAAAUCUUGGACUGAUUCAUCAUGCUCAGCUCUCACCAAGUCAAAGAGCCAACAGGGGAAAACAGAGGCAAUUAUCAAGAAAGUGCCCCAAAGGGGUAAAGAGUUUCACAAAGAGGUGGAUGUUAAAAGGGGUUCUGUUAAUUUGUCUAAAAGUCAGGAAAUUGAAAAGUUCAAGGGGUUUGAUGAGAUAAAAAAGCAAUCUUUAUCAGUUUUAUUGAAGAAUAAUGGAAGGAGGAAAUCAUUUUGUGGUUCAAAAAUUGAGCUGACUGAUUUCUUUUCUUGUAGUGGUGUCAAAGUUGUGUCUGUAGAUAUGCCACCAUUUAUGCAGGUUCAUGCUGUUAAUUGUGCAAGGAAGACUCAUGAUAGCUUGGAAAAGUUUACAUCUAAAGCUCUUGCACUUACCCUCAAAAAGGAAUUUGAUGAAGUGUACGGUCCAGCAUGGCAUUGUAUAGUAGGGACCAGUUUUGGUUCUUUUGUAACACAUUCUAUUGGUGGUUUUAUGUAUUUUUCUAUGGAUCAUAAGAUAUAUGUACUCCUAUUCAAGACUACUGUACAAAAAGCAGAAUCUAGUUUUAAAUCUUAAGGUGAAAUAUAGACCAAAUAUUUGGUAAAAAAGCAG